UCCAUGUGUGUAUGCACGUGUGUGUGCAUGUGCAUUUGUGUGUGCAUGUGUGUGUGCAUGUAUGCACACACGUGUGUGUGUGUGUGUCU
rnacentral:miRNA from 1 species